rnacentral:tRNA from 1 species
GCAGAUAUGGCCGAGUGGUUAAGGCGACUGACUCGAAAUCAGUUUCCAUCUUCGUAGGUUCGAAUCCUACUAUCUGCG